UACAGAGGGUGCGAGCGUUAAUCGGAAUUACUGGGCGUAAAGCGCGCGUAGGCGGCUUCGCAAGUCGAGUGUGAAAUCCCCGGGCUUAACCCGGGAACUGCAUUCGAGACUGCGUUGCUAGAGUAUGGGAGAGGGAGGUGGAAUUUCAGGUGUAGCGGUGAAAUGCGUAGAUAUCUGAAGGAACAUCAGUGGCGAAAGCGACCUCCUGGACCAAUACUGACGCUCAUGUGCGAAAGCGUGGGGAGCAAACAGG
rnacentral:rRNA from 1 species